rnacentral:pre_miRNA from 1 species
GAUCUACUCCCUCCGUUCCGAAUUACUUGUCUUUGAUUUGUCUAGAUACGAAUGUAUCUAGACUCAUUUUAGUGCUAGAUACCUCCGUAUCUAGACAAAUCUAAGACAAAUAAUUCGGAACAGAGGGAGUAUAUU